rnacentral:lncRNA from 1 species
GAAGAACCAGUUUUUCUUUGUUUCUUCUUCUCCCUGGGGUUUCCCUUCUCAUUGGGGCGCGCCCCGAACCGAGGCGAACGAGAACAGCCGGAUGGAGGCGGAUGAUCGGGAGGACUUCCACCGACUCAAGGACAUGUCGAUCCCGAAGCAGAGGGAGCUUGUUACCGAACAAGCCCUCUAUGACGCUGGCCUGAGCUUG